rnacentral:rRNA from 1 species
CGCCGCGUGUAUGAUGAAGGUCUUCGGAUUGUAAAGUACUGUCUUUGGGGAAGAAUGACUGGAUUGAAAAUAUUGAUUCAGUAUGACGGUACCCAAGGAGGAAGCCCCGGCUAACUACGUGCCAGCAGCCGCGGUAAUACGUAGGGGGCAAGCGUUGUCCGGAAUUAUUGGGCGUAAAGGGCGCGUAGGCGGAUAGUUAAGUCCGGUGUGAAAGAUCAGGGCUCAACCCUGAGAGUGCAUCGGAAACUGGUUAUCUUGAGGACAGGAGAGGAAAGUGGAAUUCCA